rnacentral:rRNA from 1 species
AGAACGAACGCUGGCGGCAUGCCUAACACAUGCAAGUCGAACGCGUGGAGCAAUCCACGAGUGGCGCACGGGUGAGUAACGCGUGGGAACCUGUCCUGGAGUGGGGGAUAACCGAGGGAAACCUCGGCUAAUACCGCAUACGUCCUGAGGGAGAAAGAUUUAUCGCUCUAGGAGGGGCCCGCGUCGGAUUAGCUAGUUGGUGGGGUAACGGCCUACCAAGGCGAUGAUCCGUAGCUGGUCUGAGAGGAUGAUCAGCCACACUGGGACUGAGACACGGCCCAGACUCCUACGGGAGGCAGCAGUGGGAAUAUUGGACAAUGGGCGCAAGCCUGAUCCAGCAAUGCCGCGUGAGUGAUGAAGGCCUUAGGGUUGUAAAGCUCGUUUCGGCGGGACGAUGAUGACGGUACCGCAGAAGAACGCCCGGCUAACUUCGCGCCAGCAGCCGC